rnacentral:lncRNA from 1 species
AUUAAAUUACCUGCUUUAUUUAAAAUUGAACAAUAGAGGACAAGAGGAGGAGAUAAAGGUAAAAAGUUUGGGCACAUUACAUCUAAACAUAUUUUAGUGAAGAACUGUCAGAAGAAACACAUCAACCUCUUCAUUCCUAUUCACUUCUGUCUUUCCCAAAGUUCAAUUUAAGUCAAUUUUGAAUGUAGGUUCCAUUUUCUAUGGAGUACAUAUUAGCAUUAGGUGAUACAGAGUUAUCUUUUGAGAGAAAUGAUCCUUUGUGGGUUUUUUGUGUGUUCUUUCUUGGGUGGGGAGGGUUAUAGUUCUUUUCUAUAAUUGGAUAGGAAUAUGAGACUUCCUAUGCUUUGGCUUUUUGUAUUUCUUCAGGCUUGUAUUUUUGGUGCAGUGUGUGUGCCUACAUGGAAAAUACGUGGAGAGGUGGGUAACGGACUUUUUUCCAUUCAUCUAUGACUAAGGCUUUUGAGUAUUAUUUUUUCUCACUAGGCUUUACUUGUUGAGAAUGAGAAGUGUGUUUUCUGCUCAUGAUCUAUUUGAGAAAUUAAAGCAGUCUGGACUGAUUUCUACUUGAGGUACUCUUUGGCUCCUUGGAGGAGCUGUAUUAUGAGAAUGGAGACCUGCAUUCCUCAACUGGAGCCUGUUCCAGCCCAGCCAAAUUACCCAGGAGACUGGCACCCGUUCUGUUUGCACAAAACAUUUUUAGACUCUGAGUCACCUUUAGGUUCUCUCCUGGUAGGAUUAAACUCCAUAGCAUCCUAUUACCUUGGCUUCCUUGUGCAGACAGGUUUGCUGUGCAAGCUUCCCAGGCACCCCGCCUUCAAGAAGGAGAAAAGCCCAGGCAGAUGAAAGCCUUGCAUAUAUUAGACACCCACUCACCUAGGACAAGCAGGUAUUGAUAACAGGGCUUUAUCACUUCCUGCCCUACAAAACUCACACAAGGCUGCUCUAGGCAAAGUGGUGAAACAGGUCCAGUUCAUCCGGGAUUUUUUCAGUCCUGUUCUUAUGUCCAUACUGGCUAGUAUAUCCUCCUAUUCCCACUAGACUGUAGUUUCAUGCAACAAGUGUUUCUUGGCAUUUAUUGUUCCUGGUAGCGUGUGCUCCAGACACUGGUCUAAGGCCCUGGAGAUACAAGAGAG